ensembl:misc_RNA 7SK 7SK RNA
GGAUGUGAGGGCGAUCUGGCUGUGACAUCUGUCACCCCAUUGAUCGCCAGGGUUGAUUCGGCUAUCUGGCUGGCUAGGCGGGUGUCCCCUUCCUCCCUCACCGCUCCAUGUGCGUUUCUCCCAAAGCUGCAUGCUGGUUCGAAGAGGACGACCAUCCCCGCUAGAGGAGGACCAGUCUUCGGUCAAGGGUAUACGAGUAGCUGCGCUCCCCUGCUAGAACCUCCAAACAAGCUCUCAAAUAGGUCACUUGUUCAAAUAAAUACAGAAAAUUUUACUUUCUUUAACUUUCUCUCAAUCUUUUUUUUUUAAAGAUUUAUUUAUU